ensembl:lncRNA
GCCGAAGGGAACCUGUCCCCAUUUGGGGGGCGCGACGGCCCGGCGGGCGUCUCACCAAAUUUUCUAUUUUUGUAUUUACUACCCAGCCUCCUCCCUUCCUCAAAGUAUGUUUCCCGCCGCCCAGGCCCCACUUCCCGCCUCUGUCCUGAGCUCUUGGUCUCCCCGAAGACAAUCCCCCCGCCCCCAAACUGGUCUUCUGGGGUCUCCGGCCCUGGUUGGAAGCCCUCGGGCCGGGUGACAAGGCUGAAGCACGUGGCCAGAAGCAAUGGAGAACCACAACAAAGAGCGGGGACUGGUGUGCGCUAUGCUUUGUGCGGGAGGAAGAGUCACCCCUGAGGUUCCUGCUGCUCUUUUUCUUCCAUCCUUUCUUUUCUUUAAACGAGGGUGAGGGGAGGUGGCCAUUUUUCUCUCAGCCUGAGCUUGUUAGGGGCCCUCUCCGAGGAGGGCGGGAGAAUGGAGGUUUGAGGAGGAGGUCAGGGAGCAGACGGAGAGCGCGGGCGGCCGCGGGUGUUGGUGAGAGUGUUUCUGUGCGCGCGCGAGGCCCGUGGGUCUGCGGCCGCCGUCGCCGGGAAGGACGAAGCCGAGGUGGGAAGAGGCGGCCGUCUCGCCUCCUCUCUCUCGGCGCACCACCGUUCUCUCUUUUGAUCUUUGGUUUGGGACGCUGUCUUGCGUGUCUUAUGCAAAAAGUAAUGGCUAAUGAGGUUGCCACAGCCAGGCCAGGAAAGGAAAGGGAAACGGAGGGAAGGGGAGGGCGAGAUUGACCGCUGUAGUAUUGGGAGAAGCGUUUUCGGCUGUUUUUUCCAACUACCGGGUUCCUCUGCAUCUGGGAAAUACUUGAAUCUCUAGAUAAAUGAUAUUAUCCUGAAGAAUUUCCUUAGACACUUUUCUAAGUUCGAACUCUGUUCCUCUCGCUCCCUUCCCUCCUCGCUUUCCUCUUCCUCGGGUAAAAUGGUUUUUGGCAUAUUUCUCACGCAUGUCUCUUGCGCCUUCGCCUCUGCAAAGCCACCGCUGCGUUGUUGAGACCCGCUCUGCCAACUCCGGCUACUGGAGGGGUUUCCUUGAACUUGAAGAAAGGCACAUCAAAACCCACCAGUGUUAACUGCCACGUCAAUUUUGAUGCUAAUAAUGUGCAGAUUAUGACGAAAAUUGCCAAUCAUGCUCUCUGAUGGACCUCCUUUGAAUGUGGAAUUGGAGAAAAGUUCCCCGCACGGAGACCUGCUGUCAAGUACUAACAACCCGCUAAGGGAAGUCAUUAGGAGAGACGGAUAAGAGACUCGGAGACACACACUACGUCCAAACAUUGGUUUAACGUUAAUUGGCUGGCUAAACAGAAAGGAGUGUUCAGGAGUAGUGUAUAUGUGGAUAUGCAAUACAGAGGACACGCCGGCAUAGACACAGGGAGUGUGUGCACACACUCAGGGCUGGAGGCUGUUUAUGUCGCAGUACUACAAAGUGUGCAAAGAAUGAAAAAUAAUUCAUCAUAAAAUGCAGAAGACUGUCUGUCAUCAAGCUCGAAUUGUUUUUGACAAGAAAAUAAAUCUGUAGGUUGUUUAA